UUUUUGAUGGAUGCUUUCACAGAAUCUGAUGUGGGCCCUCAUGCUGUGCAGAACAAGCAACACUUUUGUUCCAUGAAAAAAUCCCCCGGAUCGCUUCCCGUAACACUCAGUAAGCCAAUCUUUCAUUAGGCUUUCUACCAUCCAUCCUUUUUCAUUGACUUUCACCACAAUUCCUUUUGGGAAUUUUUUUUUUUGGCAUUGUAACCCUCUUAAUAAUCCCCAUUGGUGGAAGCUUUUGCCCAGAUGUGGCACAACUCAGCACACAGGUGGAGUGAGUUCGCUCAUGGCCAGUUGUUUUCAGCGUGAACGAUAAUUCGCCUUUCUUGUUAACAGUCCUUGUGAGAGGCAAGUCAAACAUCAAAGGCACUCCAUCCAUAUUUAUGAUGUCAUCUGGAGCGAUGCAGUUCUCUAGGAUCUUUGUUUGAGUGUAUGUGCGGAAGUUUUUCAGCUUUUCCUCGUAGUCAGGUGGGAGUUGUUGACACAGAGUCAUCCGUGUCCUAAUAGACAGGCCUUUUCAGCUCAUAAAUCUGUAACACCAAGAAGGUCCACCCCCAAAAUCUUCAAUUUGCUUUUCAGUCGCGAUUGCGCUUUAAGCUUGAUCUGCGCAGUAGAAACACCUCGACCGUCUGCUCUUUUUGUGUUCACCCAGUCUUCAAGUAUAUUUUCCAAUUCCGGCCAUCUGCUUUUAUUUCCUCUGAAAGCUUUUUUCAUUUUCUUACAUUGACUGAGUUCAUCCCGCUGCCGCCUCCAACGUCGCACCAUUGAUUUAUUUAUUUAUGCCAAGCUCCUGUGCAGUGGCUCUGUUUCCUUGUUUGAUGGCCAGAUCGAUCGCUUUUAACUUGUAAGCUGCAGCAUAUGCAUUCCUCCGUGUGUUUUCCAUGACGAGGGAGUGUCUGAUGUGUAAACGUGCCGCUUUAAAUCAAAGAGUGUCUUCUUCCACGCAUAACGUUUUGCCGUGCCUGUCUCACUUUACUGCUGGAAAGUGCCUCUAGUGGUUGUUGGCCAACACAUAAGCCGCACCGUGAUAUUGGUCGCAGGCCUCAAAGCACAGGGGAAAAGUAGCGGCUUAUAGUCCGGAAAAUACGGUAGUCAGCUAGGAGAUAGGUUUUGCUUUUGUAACCCAGAAGCUAGAACCUUAAUGAGGUAUUAACUAAUUGGCUUACUAAUAUGAUCCAUCCUCAAUUUAGAUAAAAUAUAAAAUAUAAAUUAAGGAAAUUAACAAUACUAAUUAAUAGAUAUCUAAUUAACUAAUAGAUAAUUUCAUAAUGAAUUAUUGGAAGGGUGAAUAACUAAAAUAACGAGUUUAAUAUUAAACAUCGGUUAAAACAAGAAUCUUGAACAUCACUAACAGAAACAGAAGAGGAAAGCUGUAUACUAUUGGUCCAGGUGGGAAUCUGAAAUUUCAUUGGCUGAGAGAAAUAAGUCCCGCCUCCGCGAAAUAAAACCGUGCGACGCAGCUGAGCGAGAGGAGAGACAAACGGCUGUGCAGCACGCAGAUACAGAAAGCAAAGACUGAGCGGUUAGAGAGAGAGAGAGAGAGAAAAAAAACAACGGUCGAGGCCGUGAAGAACCCUGAUUUGGGUGCCGCAUAGAUAGAGGGAGAGGCGGACUUGACUCCUUCUAAUAAGAGCUAGGAACUUGGAACCAACGCGAUUUGUGUGGAGACGACAGAGUGAACCAAUCCUCUGUAGGAGGGAACCGUUGGAGCGCGUUGGUGAGUGAAUGAGAUUAAAUUCAGUAAAUUAUUAAAUUCAAAAAGCUAAUUACAGCAACCGAGGUGACAGCAGUGGGCUGCUAGACGUUAGAUCCCAGGAGUUAACAUCUCAAACUACCAGUUAACGGUGGUAGGGCAUAUAGGAGUUAACGGCUCAAACCGCCAGUUAACGGCGGUAGGGCCUAGAUGUACAAGGUCCUCAGGGGCGUUAUAGCUAACGCCAUAGAAUUAGCAAUGCGUCCCUUAACCAAACAUUUAAUAAUAAAAAAAAAUAGAUAAAUAAAAAUAAAUAAAAGCUAACUGAUUAGGGAGGAAUUAUUUUACAAAGGUGGACCAAAGGACCAGAAUUUAUAUUUUGUUGAAUUUUGUUAUAGAACAUUUUAUUUAUUUAUUUAUUUAUUUAUUUAUUUAUUUAUUUAUUUAUUUAUUUAUUGUGUUACAGAUAUACAAGGUGUCACAAUGCUGUAUAGAAACACAACUAAAUGUAUCCUUGUUGUCAUGAAUGUAUUUCUUGUUGAAUAGUGUAGAGUAAUAGAAUCUAACUGAGCCUAUUGAGCUGAACAAUUGUUGUCAUAUGUAAUUAUAUUUCCAGAGCUACUGAGAAUUAUUUUAAUAGACAAUCAAAUUGAUGUUAUGUUAGUUGAACUGUGAACCCAAACAUGAUUGGCUAUGCCAAUAGAGUGAAGCAUUUGUUUAAGUCUGUAAGACUUUAUGCUGUGAUGUGACGAGAAGGGUCGAUGCCAACUCGCUAACAGUCCUGUUGUUUACAGGCUGGGUUUUUUUUUUUCCUUGGGUUUGAUCCCGACUCCUAUGAUCACUCACUUGGAACGAGAACUGGAUUUCUUCCUGACGAGGGAGAUGGCGAGCCUUAACCACUGAACGAACCAGGACAUCUCAAGUAACUGAAGAGCAGACUGCUCUCUUCUGUGAACAAUCUCAACGGUGCGGUAGGAAAAAAUCGCACCACCGGACUCUGACUUUCACCCCAAGCGUGGGGAUUUGACUUGACGCCGGCUGACUUGUGACUCAUAUGAUCAAAUCUCAUACCGACCAUUUUACUAUUGUCGAUUGUUUUCAUCUGUUUUUGUGUGUUAUCUUUAUGUGUUAUAUUUCCCAUUAUUAUUAAAAUUUAGUAUAUAAACCGUUUCAUGCUAUAC